GUUUUGUGGUUUAUUUGUCUCGAUUCUUUUAGCAGACUGCAGAUAACACCUUCGUAUCAUAGGUUUGGGGGUAUGUUUUAUGCUAAUGAUUUUAGAAUGGGUUUUUAGAUUAUUAUUUUUCAUAACUUCAAUUUAUUGUUUUUAGGUUCAUAAUUAUUGUUUGAAAAGUUUUACCAUGAUAUUUGUUAUGCAUAUCAAGUCUUUAGUAGGCCUUGGUUUUGGUGGGUUUUGUACUUGAAGCUGUAUCGAUCUAAACUGCAAUUAUAGUUGCUCAUGAAAGUGGUCAUCUUUUAGGUGCUUGACUUCAAGGAAUUCAUAUGAAACUAUUGGCACUUCAUCUCCGUCCGAUGAGAUUCACUUGGAAUCUGAUGAUGGUAUCUUUAUAUCGGAGGUUGAUAUUAUUACGUCAUCACAGAAAUGGAAGUUGACAAGUGAUAUAGUACCAGUGCAAGGGCUUCUUCAGUUCUUCUUGCUGGUCCAAAUGGAAGUGGGAAAAGUUCGGUGUUUAUGGCUCUCCGUGGUCUUUGGCCUAUUAUCGGUGGACGCAAUGGUAAACCUUCCCGCAAUGUUAAUGACGUGGGUCAAUUCAGUUGUGGUAUAUUAUACAUUCCUCGGAAACCUUACAAGAUCAAAAUUUCUAUCAUGUCUCACAUGACCAAGCAGAAAAGAAGGUGGCUUUAAGGUAUCCAGUAGAAUCCUAUCUAAUCCAUUGAAAUUCACUUGCUCCGUGUAGAGUCAAUUAAGGUUGGGGAAAAGAUAGCGACAUAAACAUCUACAGUUCAGAGUUCAGACUACUCAGCCAACAGCUAGCAGUGCCCAGGGUGGUUCAACACUUCAACUCCCAUUAGCAGGUGCCCAGGGUGGAUAUGGUGUUUAGUAAGCUCUGUGGUCCUAAGAAUUUUCGACUAUGUUUUGCGAAAAGUGAUUUUGGAGGUUGUAUCCAUUAACCAUUAUUAGGACAUCAGAUGCGGCAGUUCACCUCCAUGAUGUGACGCCAUACCAUCACCACCGUGGUCUUGGCGUGGUGGACGGAACCAUGGUGUUCUUCGUGCCGAUCUUUACUGCUACGAUCCUGGGGAGCCUCUUAAGCUAUGCAUCAGCUAAAUAUUUGAAAUUAUUGGCAUUGGGAGUGGUUAAAUGAGACCAUUCUCAGUUGAGUUCAAGGGGUUACUAUCCUUAUUAUA